rnacentral:lncRNA from 1 species
AACACAAUGCUCACAAAAGGGUAAUGAAACCUUUUUGAGCCCUGGAAGAAGCUUUUGUUCUGAGAGAAUUUUCAAACCACGUUCCGACAUGUGAGCAAGCUUGCGAUGCCACAUCAUCGUUAAUUCUUCUACUGAACUUGUCGAUGCGACAAAUGCUUCUCCUUCUUGUAGUGUCUCUCCUUUAAGCAUGUACAAAUUUGCAGUUAUCUUUUCUGCUUUCAUCACCACAAGCGCGCCUUUAACUAUAUUCAUGAUCCCAUCUUGUAUAUGGGUCUUGCAUCCAAUGCUGUCCAAUUGUCCUAGAGACAAUAAAUUUUUCUUUAGGCCUUUUACAUGCCGUACCUCCUAGAUAGUACGAACUGUACCAUCAUACAUUUUCAAUUUGAUGGUACCAAUACCAGCGAUCUCCAAGGCAUGAUCAUUUUCCAUAAACACAGAUCCUCCUGGGAUAGUCUCAUAUUGAUGAAACCAUUCCCUUAUUGGUGUCAUGUGCCAUGUAGCUCCUGAAUCCAUAAGCCAGACAUCAGAAUAUUUCUUUCUGCCUUCAACAACUGUUGUUGCCUCGCUGUAUAAAAUUUCACCAUCAUCUGAGGUACUUGCUACACAACCCUGAGCUUUUGAUAUCUCAGGACCUUUUCCUUUAGCUUCUUCAUUCUUCUUGAGACUCCAAAAAUCCCUUUUUAAGUGCCCUUUCUUGCCACAGUAAUGACACUUGGCAUUUUUCUUACUCCUGGAUUUUGAUCUACUCUGAUUAUGACUCCCACUGGAGCCA